GAUCCUGGGAUCAUUAUACAUAGCUCUACUCGUGUUGCCAUCCCGCGAAUUCAUUCUGUCUCUUUUCAGCCCUCAACAUUCAACCAGCAAUGAUCUCGGCAAACGGUGGCUGAUAGGCAUUGUAGCUUAAAUUCUUUUCAGCUAGCAUAGCCGGCGUAAUACCCGGCCGGCUACUGCGGUAAAUAAAAUAGCAACUGCCUACGGGGAAUUUAAGAAUUGAGUACCUGAAAUAAACAAAAAGGUUACCUGUCGUUCUUAUUAUAUUCCUAAUUGGAAAAAACAUCCAACGUUUCACCUUGAUCAAAAGUCUAACCCCUAGAUUUUUUGGCAAUUGACAAUUCGCGAGAUUCAUUACUAGAGCUGGGUUGGGUCGGGAAUACCCCAUAGGUACCAUCUAUAUCCGCACGCUUGGUAUCCCGGGUAUCGAAAGCGCUUCCCGGUUCUUUGUUUUAGACUUUUUGAGCACUCGUGGAAGCUUCCGUAGUCGAUAGCAGACCAUAGUAUCUAGGGUAAGCGACAAGCUUGGGCGAGUAGUAGGAUUAUUGCGCAAGACGAAAAGUGCUGCCAUUCACCGUUUAACCCGAUCUUAGUUUUUUAAGUACUCCAAAGUGAACACACAAGAUUAAAAAAGGGGCAGGGCAAGAAAAUAAUGAAAAGCUAAUAGCAAAAGCAAAAGCAAAAGCAAGGAUAUCACUUUCUUUCCCAAUCUAUCAACCCAUAUCAAAACACCAACGCUAAACAAUUUGUGCUCAUAUUCUCAUGAUGAGGGCCAAAGAAUAGAAGGGUAAAUCAAUUCCAACGGGCUCAGAGCAAAGAACGGACAAGCCUUGACAAUGCGUAAUAACUCCACGCAUUGCCCCAAUGCACACGAAAUCGAAUAAACCAAAGAAUAUAAGCACAGCGGAAGAAAGAUUGAGCUAAACCGCUGAAGGGUGAUCAAAAAAAAAGGUGUCAAGGAAAACAUGGGCUAACAAUAAAUAAGCUUCAAACAAGCCACAAUAAGGACGAAAUCAUGAGGGCCCUGGAAAAUGGGAGGUAAGCCAUUUAUAAAAAAAGGCCUCAUUGGGACUGUAAAAAUAGGGUGAAACGAUGGAUAUUUUUUAAUCUGUUAUUUUAAUCCGAAGCCUUCGCUGUCCACUACAGCGCGCCACAGUUUCUGUUCUAGCUUCUCUCGGCUUUUGUAACGAUAUAGGGAAAUGAGAUUGAAACAUGUCCUCGCAGUUGGGAACCUAUCUGAAUCUUGCCCAAGGCAUACAAGACGGAUCGAAAGAUUCGUUGCCCCCAUAGCAGGUAUACGGUCGCUACCAGUAAUGAAACUGAGUAUUUUGCGUUGAUCCCGGGGUGAGACCCGGGAGAAAAAGUCCCAGAACCAAGUCACCACUGGCUCUUUUUCAGGG
rnacentral:sRNA from 2 species